GGGGCGUUAGCUCAGUCGGUCAGAGCAGGGGACUCAUAAUCCUGGGUCGCGGGUUCAAGUCCCGCACGCCCUA
rnacentral:tRNA from 1 species